rnacentral:rRNA from 1 species
UCAUCAUGCCCUUUAUGUCCUGGGCUACACACGUGCUACAAUGGUUGGUACAGAGGGCAGCUAUAUAGUGAUAUAAUGCAAAACUCGAAAGCCAAUCCCAGUUCGGAUUGUAGGCUGCAACUCGCCUACAUGAAGUCGGAGUUGCUAGUAAUCGCGGAUCAGAAUGUCGCGGUGAAUGCGUUCCCGGGUCUUGUACACACCGCCCGUCACACCAUGGGAGUUGAUAAUACCCGAAGCCUGUGACCUAAUUGAGGAGCAGUCGAAGGUAGGAUUGAUGACUGGGGUGAAGUCGUAACAAGGUAGCCGUAUCGGAA